AGUGAACGCUGGCGGCAUGCCUAACACAUGCAAGUCGAACGGCAGCACAGUAAGAGCCUGCUCUUACGGGUGGCGAGUGGCGGGUGAGUGAGGAAUACACCGGCCUCUACUUUUUCGUGGGGGAUAACGAAGGGAAACUUACGCUAAUACCGCAUACGACCUCCGGGUGAGAGCAGGGGAGCUUCGUCCCUUUCGCGUUUGAAUGAGCCGAUGUCGGAUUUGCUAGUUGGCGGGGUAAAGGCCGACCAAGGCGACGAACCGUAGCGGGUCGGAGAGGAGGAUCGGCCACACUGGAACUGGGCCACGGUCCCGAGUCCUGAGGGAGGCAGCAGACGGGAAUAUUAGACAAUGGGCGCAAGCCUUGUCCAGCCAUCCCGCGUGUGUGAAGAAGGCCUUCGGGUUGUAAAGCCCUUUUGUUGGGAAAGAAAAGCAGUAGGUUAAUACCAAGCUGUUCUGACGGUACCCAAAGAAUAAGCACCGGCUAACUUCGUG
rnacentral:rRNA from 1 species